rnacentral:misc_RNA from 1 species
AAGUCGUAACAAGGUUUCCGUAGGUGAACCUGCGGAAGGAUCAUUAUUGAAUAAACUUGGUUGGGUUGUUGCUGGCUUUUCGGAGCAUGUGCACACCUAGCACCAUUUUUACCACCUGUGCACAUUUUGUAGAUUUGAAACACCUCUUGGGGAAACUCAGUUUGAGGAAUGCUUAUGGGCGCAAGCCUUUUAGGCUUUCCUUGCGUUUCAAGUCUAUGUUUUUAUAUACCCCACAUGAAUGUAAUAGAAUGUCAUUAAUGGGCUUAUGCCUUUAAAUUAAUACAACUUUCAACAACGGAUCUCUUGGCUCUC